UUCAUUUGGUUAAAUACACUCUAUUAGAGAGCAUGAACGAAAUUUUUCUAAUUACAUUUUAGGGCAAAGGGUCAAAUAUAUUCCCUCUACUUUACUUUAUUGGUUAAAUAUAUCCUCCGUUAACCAAAGUACCUAAACAUACCCCUUUGUUAGCCAAAAUUGUUAAAUAUACCCUACAUGGAUGGAAAUGCCCAAAUCAAAUGAAAUUAACCAUUUAACUUUAAAAAAACCGUGCUCCAUAAUUUUAACCCGACCCGCCCACAAAUUCAAGAAUGUUGUUUCAAUCGAGAAUUCAAUCAAAAUUACCCUGACCAAUGCUCUUAGCUUACCUUCACCGUAAAUCCAUUCUCCAAAACCUCAACUCUCGCAGUGCUACUGCAACUUCACAUGAAGAAUCAGAACUUGCUCGAAAGAUUGUACAUAAGUGGGAUGAAGGUGCAGAUAUCGGUGAUCCUCCGCAGUAGGCUUCACUUCUUGCUAUUCCGGAGUUCUCCUAUUUGAUCCGGAGUCCACUUUUGGUACAGACUCUUUUUGCUUUGUAUAUAUAUUUGGUAUAUUUGACUAUUUGGGUACGGCGGGGCCCUGUCUCGCCAUAUGUCUUUGUUUUGAGUUCGUAGAGGCCUGUAGUCAUAUAUGUGGGGCGAGGGUCCUAUGUAUGUUGGUCUGAUUCCGUUUUCUGGUCUUAAGGCGGUCUGUUUGUUAUGCCGGCCCAAAUGGCCCUUAUGCUUAUAUUUGCACUUUUGACCGGCGAUGUCCAUUCCGCCGCUCAGUUUGUAUUUGACAUGAUAUUUUGAUUUGGCACGACCG